rnacentral:misc_RNA from 1 species
GAUGAAGAACGUAGCGAAAUGCGAUACGUAAUGUGAAUUGCAGAAUUCAGUGAAUCAUCGAAUCUUUGAACGCAUAUUGCGCUCUCUGGUAUUCCGGAGAGCAUGCUUGUUUGAGUAUCAGUAAACACCUCAACUUCCAUAUCUUUUUUGAAAUGGGAGUUGGACNUGAGUGAUCCCAACGCUUUUCCUCACCGAAAAGUGGCGGGUUACUUGAAAUGCAGGUGCAGCUGGACUUUUCUCUGAGCUAUAAGCAUAUCUAUUUAGUCUGCCUAAAAAACAGAUUAUUACCUUUGCUGCAGCUAACAUAAAGGAGAUUAGUUCUUGUGCUGACUGAUGCAGGAUUCACAAAGACAGGCUUCGGCCGACUUUGUAAACUCGAUCUCAAAUCAAGUAAGACUACCCGCUGAACUUAAGCAUAUCAAUAAGCGGAGGA